CCUACGGGGGGCAGCAGUGGGGAAUAUUGCGCAAUGGGCGAAAGCCUGACGCAGCGACGCCGCGUGAGGGAUGAAGGUCUUCGGAUCGUAAACCUCUGUCAGCAGGGAAGAACGGUCACUGUGCUAAUCAGCAGUGAAUUGACGGUACCUGCAAAGGAAGCACCGGCUAACUCCGUGCCAGCAGCCGCGGUAAUACGGAGGGUGCGAGCGUUAAUCGGAAUUACUGGGCGUAAAGCGCUCGUAGGCGGUAUGUCAAGUCAAGGGUGAAAUCCCCGCGCUCAACGUGGGAACUGCCUUUGAAACUGGCAAACUGGAGUGUGUGAGAGGAUAGUGGAAUUCCAGGUGUAGGGGUGAAAUGCGUAGAUAUCUGGAGGAACAUCAGUGGCGAAGGCGACUAUCUGGCACAUAACUGACGCUGAGGAGCGAAAGCGUGGGUAGCAAACAGGAUUAGAUACCCGAGUAGUC
rnacentral:rRNA from 1 species